GACGAACGCUGGCGGCGUGCUUAACACAUGCAAGUCGAACGGAAAGGCCCUGCUUUUGUGGGGUGCUCGAGUGGCGAACGGGUGAGUAACACGUGAGUAACCUGCCCUUGACUUUGGGAUAACUUCAGGAAACUGGGGCUAAUACCGGAUAGGAGCUCCUGCUGCAUGGUGGGGGUUGGAAAGUUUCGGCGGUUGGGGAUGGACUCGCGGCUUAUCAGCUUGUUGGUGGGGUAGUGGCUUACCAAGGCUUUGACGGAUAGCCGGCCUGAGAGGGUGACCGGCCACAUUGGGACUGAGAUACGGCCCAGACUCCUACGGGAGGCAGCAGUGGGGAAUAUUGCACAAUGGGCGGGAGCCUGAUGCAGCAACGCCGCGUGCGGGAUGACGGCCUUCGGGUUGUAAACCGCUUUCGCCUGUGACGAAGCGUGAGUGACGGUAAUGGGUAAAGAAGCACCGGCUAACUACGUG
rnacentral:rRNA from 1 species